UGUAAAGUAGUCUAAAUUAGGGCGAAGGAUCUAUGCUCCUUAAGUGUUUUUAACCUUUAUAA
rnacentral:tRNA from 1 species